AGAGUUUGAUCAUGGCUCAGGAUGAACGCUAGCGACAGGCCUAACACAUGCAAGUCGAGGGGUAACAGAAUUUUAGCUUGCUAAAAUUGCUGACGACCGGCGCACGGGUGAGUAACGCGUAUGCAACCUACCUCUUACAGAGGAAUAGCCCGAAGAAAUUCGGAUUAAUGCCUCAUGGUUCUGUUUUCUCGCAUGGGAAGAUAGAUAAAGUUCCGGUGGUAUAAGAUGGGCAUGCGUAUGAUUAGGUAGUUGGUAGGGUAACGGCCUACCAAGCCGACGAUCAUUAGGGGUUCUGAGAGGAUUAUCCCCCACACUGGUACUGAGACACGGACCAGACUCCUACGGGAGGCAGCAGUGAGGAAUAUUGGUCAAUGGGCGAGAGCCUGAACCAGCCAUCCCGCAUGCAGGAUGACGGCCCUAUGGGUUGUAAACUGCUUUUCUACGCCAAGAAACCCCGCUACGUGUAGAGAUUUGAAUGUACUGUAUGAAUAAGGAUCGGCUAACUCCGUGCCAGCAGCCGCGGUAAUACGGAGGAUUCGAGCGUUAUCCGGAUUUAUUGGGUUUAAAGGGUCCGUAGGCGGUUCUUUAAGUCAGUGGUGAAAUCCCAGAGCUCAACUCUGGAACUGCCAUUGAAACUGAAGAACUUGAAUAUGGUUGAGGUAGGCGGAAUACGUUAUGUAGCGGUGAAAUGCAUAGAUAUUACACGGAAUACCGAUUGCGAAGGCAGCUUACUAAACCAUUAUUGACGCUGAUGGACGAAAGCGUGGGGAGCGAACAGGAUUAGAUACCCUGGUAGUCCACGCCGUAAACGAUGAUUACUCGUUGUGCACAAUACACCGUGUGUGACCGAGCGAAAGCAUUAAGUAAUCCACCUGGGGAGUACGUUCGCAAGGUUGAAACUCAAAGGAAUUGACGGGGGCCCGCACAAGCGGAGGAACAUGUGGUUUAAUUCGAUGAUACGCGAGGAACCUUACCUGGGCUUAAAUGUAGAUUGCAUAGAUUAGAGAUAGUCUUUUUCUUCGGAACUAUUUACAAGGUGCUGCAUGGUUGUCGUCAGCUCGUGCCGUGAGGUGUCGGGUUAAGUCCCAUAACGAGCGCAACCCCUAUCGUUAGUUGCUAGCAGGUAAUGCUGAGGACUCUAGCGAGACUGCCACCGUAAGGUGAGAGGAAGGUGGGGAUGACGUCAAAUCAGCACGGCCCUUAUGUCCAGGGCUACACACGUGUUACAAUGGCAGGUACAAAGGGCAGCUACACAGCGAUGUGAUGCUAAUCUCUAAAGCCUGUCCCAGUUCGGAUUGGAGUCUGCAACCCGACUCCAUGAAGUUGGAUUCGCUAGUAAUCGGAUAUCAGCAAUGAUCCGGUGAAUACGUUCCCGGGCCUUGUACACACCGCCCGUCAAACCAUGGAAGCUGGGGGUACCUGAAGUCUGUGACCGCAAGGAGCGGCCUAGGGUAAAACUGGUAACUAGGGUUAAGUCGUAACAAGGUAACCGUAAAGGGCGAAU
rnacentral:rRNA from 1 species